GUGCUUGUUUCAGCAGCACAUAGAUUAAAAUUGGAACGAUACAGAGAAGAUCAGCAUGGCCCCUGUGCAAGGAUGGCACACAAAUUCAUGAAGCGUUUCAUAAUUUU
ensembl:snRNA U6 U6 spliceosomal RNA